rnacentral:tmRNA from 1 species
GGGGGCGUGUUGGUUUCGACGGGGUCAUUGAGGCUUGAGUAGCGGGUAGAGGAUUCUCGUUGGCCUCUUUAAAAAACGAGAGUAAAAAUAAGUGCUGAAAAAGAUUACGCUUUAGCUGCUGCUUAAUUUAAGCAGCUCGUCAGUCCCAGGUUGCUGCGCCUGGGGUUACUGGCGUCAUCAAGUCAGCCCUUCGGCGUGGGAAGGUUAAACGCCGGAACUAGUCAGCCAAAGCUUUGAGGCUGGCCGGACUUUUAUGAAGCUACCGGAUUCAGUAGCCUGCCCUUGGGCGACUGAUGAAGGGAAUCACUAAAACAGGGGCUGCACCCGGAGAAGCUCUUGUUGAAAUGGCUUCGGACAGGGGUUCGACUCCCCUCGCCUCCACCA